rnacentral:lncRNA from 1 species
GUAACAAGGCCACUGUGGCAUUAAGUACAGUCCCAGCAGUGGGCACUGCCCACUUUGCUUUUGAGUGUUCAGAACCAAGAUGGUUCUUGCUGGAAGGGCUCCGGAGAAGCAGUAACGGCCUUGUGGGUUGGGCUGCAGCAGAGAAAUGGACCAAACCUCCCCCAGCCUUCAUGGCCCAAGCCCCAUCCUCCCUCCCCAACUGACUGCUGCUCCAGGCAGGAUGGAUGGAGCAUGUGCGGUGCCUCCCCCGCAAAAAUGAUGACGAGGUUAAAGGAAAAAAUAAGUUACAUUACAGUUUCCAAAAUGGUUCUCGCUCUCCGCUGAAGAUGGGCCACCGUUGGGGCUGCAAUGUGCUCGCGGUCCCAGCUUGUGCUUUGCAAGAAGAGGGAAUAUAACUAGACUGUUAUUUUAGGUUAAAAUAGCCAAGAGACAGACGCCUUCGCCUCAAAAAUAUUCUGAGACACAUAAAAGUAGAAGGAAACAAGUCUCUUCAGUCACAAAAUGUCGUACAUCCCGCAUAUACUAGAUUCAAUUAAUUUAAUAAAAUAGAAUAUACAUAGA